AGUGAACGCUGGCGGCGUGCUUAACACAUGCAAGUCGAACGAGAACGGAUUAUAGCUUGCUAUAAUUGUCAGCUAAGUGGCGCACGGGUGAGUAAUGUAUAGAUAACCUGCCCUCUAGAAAGGAAUAACAGUUGGAAACGACUGCUAAUGCCCUAUAUGCCUUUAAUACAUAAGUAUGCAAGGGAAACGCUUUAGUGCUAGAGGAUGGGUCUGUAUGGUAUCAGCUAGUUGGUGAGGUAAUGGCUCACCAAGGCUAUGACGCAUAACUGGUUUGAGAGGAUGUUCAGUCACACUGGAACUGAGACACGGUCCAGACUCCUACGGGAGGCAGCAGUGGGGAAUAUUGCACAAUGGACGAAAGUCUGAUGCAGCAACGCCGCGUGGAGGAUGACACAUUUCGGUGCGUAAACUCCUUUUAUAUAGGAAGAUAAUGACGGUACUAUAUGAAUAAGCACCGGCUAACUCCGUGCCAGCAGCCGCAGUAA
rnacentral:rRNA from 1 species